rnacentral:rRNA from 1 species
GACGAACGCUGGCGGCGUGCUUAACACAUGCAAGUCGAACGGAAAGGCCCUGCUUUUGUGGGGUGCUCGAGUGGCGAACGGGUGAGUAACACGUGAGUAACCUGCCCUUGACUUUGGGAUAACUUCAGGAAACUGGGGCUAAUACCGGAUAGGAGCUCCUGCUGCAUGGUGUGGGUUGGAAAGUUUCGGCGGUUGGGGAUGGACUCGCGGCUUAUCCGCUUGUUGGUGGGGUAGUGGCUUACCAAGGCUUUGACGGGUAGCCGGCAUGAGAGGGUGACCGGCGACAUGGGGACUGAGAUACGGACCAGACUCGUACGGGAGGCAGCAGUGGGGAAUAUUGCACAAUGAGGGGAAGUCUGAGGCAGCAACGCCGCGUGCGGGAUGACGGCCUUCGGGUUGUAAACCGAUUUGGCAUGAGACGAAGAGUGAGUGACGGUAAUGGGUAAAGAAGCAACGGCUAACUACGUG